GAUGAACGCUGGCGGCGUGCCUAAUACAUGCAAGUCGAGCGAACAGACGAGGAGCUUGCUCCUUUGACGUUAGCGGCGGACGGGUGAGUAACACGUGGAUAACCUACCUAUAAGACUGGGAUAACUUCGGGAAACCGGAGCUAAUACCGGAUAACAUGUUGAACCGCAUGGUUCAACAGUGAAAGACGGUCUUGCUGUCACUUAUAGAUGGAUCCGCGCCGCAUUAGCUAGUUGGUAAGGUAACGGCUUACCAAGGCAACGAUGCGUAGCCGACCUGAGAGGGUGAUCGGCCACACUGGAACUGAGACACGGUCCAGACUCCUACGGGAGGCAGCAGUAGGGAAUCUUCCGCAAUGGGUGAAAGCCUGACGGAGCAACGCCGCGUGAGUGAAGAAGGUCUUCGGAUCGUAAAACUCUGUUAUUAGGGAAGAACAAAUGUGUAAGUAACUAUGCACGUCUUGACGGUACCUAAUCAGAAAGCCACGGCUAACUACGUG
rnacentral:rRNA from 1 species